rnacentral:rRNA from 1 species
GGGACACGUGGUAUCCUGUCUGAAUAUGGGGGGACCAUCCUCCAAGGCUAAAUACUCCUGACUGACCGAUAGUGAACCAGUACCGUGAGGGAAAGGCGAAAAGAACCCCGGCGAGGGGAGUGAAAAAGAACCUGAAACCGUGUACGUACAAGCAGUGGGAGCCUCUUAAUGGGGUGACUGCGUACCUUUUGUAUAAUGGGUCAGCGACUUAUAUUCUGUAGCAAGGUUAACCGAAUAGGGGAGCCGAAGGGAAACCGAGUCUUAACUGGGCGUUAAGUUGCAGGGUAUAGACCCGAAACCCGGUGAUCUAGCCAUGGGCAGGUUGAAGGUUGGGUAACACUAACUGGAGGACCGAACCGACUAAUGUUGAAAAAUUAGCGGAUGACUUGUGGCUGGGGGUGAAAGGCCAAUCAAACCGGGAGAUAGCUGGUUCUCCCCGAAAGCUAUUUAGGUAGCGCCUCGUGAAUUCAUCUCCGGGGGUAGAGCACUGUUUCGGCAAGGGGGUCAUCCCGACUUACCAACCCGAUGCAAACUGCGAAUACCGGAGAAUGUUAUCACGGGAGACACACGGCGGGUGCUAACGUCCGUCGUGAAGAGGGAAACAACCCAGACCGCCAGCUAAGGUCCCAAAGUCAUGGUUAAGUGGGAAACGAUGUGGGAAGGCCCAGACAGCCAGGAUGUUGGCUUAGAAGCAGCCAUCAUUUAAAGAAAGCGUAAUAGCUCACUGGUCGAGUCGGCCUGCGCGGAAGAUGUAACGGGGCUAAACCAUGCACCGAAGCUGCGGCAGCGACACUAUGUGUUGUUGGGUAGGGGAGCGUUCUGUAAGCCUGUGAAGGUGGCCUGUGAGGGUUGCUGGAGGUAUCAGAAGUGCGAAUGCUGACAUAAGUAACGAUAAAGCGGGUGAAAAGCCCGCUCGCCGGAAGACCAAGGGUUCCUGUCCAACGUUAAUCGGGGCAGGGUGAGUCGACCCCUAAGGCGAGGCCGAAAGGCGUAGUCGAUGGGAAACAGGUUAAUAUUCCUGUACUUGGUGUUACUGCGAAGGGGGGACGGAGAAGGCUAUGUUGGCCGGGCGACGGUUGUCCCGGUUUAAGCGUGUAGGCUGGUUUUCCAGGCAAAUCCGGAAAACCAAGGCUGAGGCGUGAUGACGAGGCACUACGGUGCUGAAGCGACAAAUGCCCUGCUUCCAGGAAAAGCCUCUAAGCAUCAGGUAACAUCAAAUCGUACCCCAAACCGACACAGGUGGUCAGGUAGAGAAUACCAAGGCGCUUGAGAGAACUCGGGUGAAGGAACUAGGCAAAAUGGUGCCGUAACUUCGGGAGAAGGCACGCUGAUAUGUAGGUGAAGCGACUUGCUCGUGGAGCUGAAAUCAGUCGAAGAUACCAGCUGGCUGCAACUGUUUAUUAAAAACACAGCACUGUGCAAACACGAAAGUGGACGUAUACGGUGUGACGCCUGCCCGGUGCCGGAAGGUUAAUUGAUGGGGUUAGCGGUAACGCGAAGCUCUUGAUCGAAGCCCCGGUAAACGGCGGCCGUAACUAUAACGGUCCUAAGGUAGCGAAAUUCCUUGUCGGGUAAGUUCCGACCUGCACGAAUGGCGUAAUGAUGGCCAGGCUGUCUCCACCCGAGACUCAGUGAAAUUGAACUCGCUGUGAAGAUGCAGUGUACCCGCGGCAAGACGGAAAGACCCCGUGAACCUUUACUAUAGCUUGACACUGAACAUUGAGCCUUGAUGUGUAGGAUAGGUGGGAGGCUUUGAAGUGUGGACGCCAGUCUGCAUGGAGCCGACCUUGAAAUACCACCCUUUAAUGUUUGAUGUUCUAACGUUGGCCCGUAAUCCGGGUUGCGGACAGUGUCUGGUGGGUAGUUUGACUGGGGCGGUCUCCUCCUAAAGAGUAACGGAGGAGCACGAAGGUUGGCUAAUCCUGGUCGGACAUCAGGAGGUUAGUGCAAUGGCAUAAGCCAGCUUGACUGCGAGCGUGACGGCGCGAGCAGGUGCGAAAGCAGGUCAUAGUGAUCCGGUGGUUCUGAAUGGAAGGGCCAUCGCUCAACGGAUAAAAGGUACUCCGGGGAUAACAGGCUGAUACCGCCCAAGAGUUCAUAUCGACGGCGGUGUUUGGCACCUCGAUGUCGGCUCAUCACAUCCUGGGGCUGAAGUAGGUCCCAAGGGUAUGGCUGUUCGCCAUUUAAAGUGGUACGCGAGCUGGGUUUAGAACGUCGUGAGACAGUUCGGUCCCUAUCUGCCGUGGGCGCUGGAGAACUGAGGGGGGCUGCUCCUAGUACGAGAGGACCGGAGUGGACGCAUCACUGGUGUUCGGGUUGUCAUGCCAAUGGCACUGCCCGGUAGCUAAAUGCGGAAGAGAUAAGUGCUGAAAGCAUCUAAGCACGAAACUUGCCCCGAGAUGAGUUCUCCCUGACUCCUUGAGGGUCCUGAAGGAACGUUGAAGACGACGACGUUGAUAGGCCGGGUGUGUAAGCGCAGCGAUGCGUUGAGCUAACCGGUACUAAUGAACCGUGAGGCUUAACCUU